UGUAGUUACCUCAUUGUUUUAAGUGACUAUGUUUGGUUAUAUGGCAUGAAACACACACACAUCAGCUAGGAAACAUUUUUUCUUGAUAUAUAUUAUUUCAUUGACCUGUGACUUGUGGUGUUGUCUGUGCAGUCUUUCAAGCUAAGAGUGAUUGAGUUGUGUCAUGCUCUAGCAUCUUUGGUAUGUGGGUUAAAUGCUUUAGCAGGAAAAAGGCCCCCAGUCUAAGUCCAUAAUUGAUAGAAAUGUUGACUGAAUGAGUAAUUAUCUGUUAUUAAAUUUGUCUUUCUGUAUCAAAUAAAACUCGAUAAAUAUAGUUACUUUAACCUCCCCAUUAAAGUGAAACAAGUGAAGUGUCUUCAAACCUUAUAUGUUAUGCAUUCUUUUUUUUCUUCUACCAUUUGGUCUUCUUGACACUCCAUGUUUUAGAUCAAAUUCUCACUUGCUCUAUUGUUAUGUUUGCCUACAAAAUAUUGUGUGAUCAUGACAAUGAUGCCCCAAAAGAGACGACUACUUUUGGACAAGGAGGAGCUCCUGCUGAGUCUCGUGUGCCUUCAGUUGGAAGUGGUUUAUUAUUAGAUGCCUAUCGCUAACGACUUGAGAUAACUAUAUCGUAGAAAAGUAUCGUAAUAGCUGUGGUAUUCAAGUGCGAAGUCUUAUGGAUGUGUUGAUUUUAAGCGGUUGGUGGUGGUUAAAUGUAAGUUGGAAAACUACACAAGAUACUUUGCAGUUGUAGGAUGUGCUCGACUCCGGAGACUGCAACAGGAUUCAUGUAUCGUUGCGGUUCUUAACUGUUUUGGUAUGCUGAUAUAAAACCCCAAGUUUUUAUUCUUGUCUAUUAACUCUUUCGUAUUUCAAAUAGUAAUUUGUUUCUACAGUUUUGUUUUUGGAUUAGUUCCCCGACAUUAUGCUUCUAAAGAUAAUGAUGAUUUUAU